CUCCGCCCCAACGCCCUCCCCCUCACCCACCUCGCGCCACCGCCGCCCGCCCGCCCUCCCCUCGCGACGCCACAGCCCAUGAGCCGGUCUGCGCCGCCGCCAUCAUGUCGUCCAGCCAUCCCUGCCCCGCAACGUCGCCGUCCGCCAUCCCACCGCCGCAAGAAGCCCCUGUUUGCCGUCGCACCGCCCCCUACGUUGCGCCGCCGCGACCCGUCCUCCUCCAGUCGUGUGCUUUGGCAUCAGGAUCCAUCGUGAGCGAGAGUGAAUGGCUCCGACGUGCCGUUCGACGCCACUGCCUCCUCUCCGAUCGGCUGUAGCACGCCAUAGCUGCCCGCCUGCCCCUUGGAGAUCACGCCGACCCCUGCACUCUAGCCGUCCCCAUCUCGCCGUGCUGCCCCCGCGCUCCAGCCGUCCCCAUCCCCUAGAGCUGCUGCUGUCGCGCCGUCCAGCCGUCCCCAUCCAGUUGUUCAACAGGCCCUGCACAUUAUCGAACGCGCGUCCAAGCUCCAACCCUCGCUCCACGGAUCAUGCGGUGAUAGCUGGGCCCCUGGACCCCUUUGUCCUAGGCCCUAGAGCAAGGCGCGGUGUCAAGGAGAAGGAGAAGGAGCGAGCUGACAUCAGCAUAUUCGUCUCCAUCGACGGUGAUUGGUUUCUUCCUCCCUCCACACUGUUGAUGUCAUGUGAUCCCGAUAGAGACCAGGCUGGAUUCAUCCUGGAUUGUACUGUCUAGCUGAUGAUGGAGUCAAGAUAGAUGUCAAACAAGAUAAAUUCUUACAAAUUCUCCUUCAGCGGUGGUGGAAUGUAUCAAAGAAAACAGUUCAGUAGUGUUCAAUGCUCUCAGGUCACUCUGUUGCAUGAAAAAAAGCUUAUGUUUGUUCUUAUUGAUGCCUAACUUUCAUGUUCGCAGUUUGAAAUAUUUUCUUAUGAAAUUCUAGGGCAUGUGAUUUAUCUGUUUCAAAUUAUUUCUUGGCCAUUUAACAUGUAAAGCUAAUUAAGUUAUAUAGGUUCAUCUUCGUAAUUUUAUUUGGUUUACCGUCUAGCAAGUUAAUCACUGGCUGAAUUAUGUCAGAUGCUUAAAUACUAUUAGAUCAAUUGUUAUUGUGCUAUAAAGUUAAUCAACUGUUCCCAGACAUAUAUGCACAGGUGUAUGUUGCGGAGCGCGGACAAUAGUAAAGAUGGUGGUCAUGGUGCAGAUCCGGGACGCUUGGUGGAUGCAGGAGCUUGCUGUGGAUCCCAUGGCUUCGCUGCUGGUGCGUGUGUUGUACGAAUCCCUCCACGACUGAGCUCCUUCCAUGUCCAACCAUGAUGCUUUUGAGUCAGGAUGUUAGGUUGGGAUGGGCUAAUGGUGAUUCUCACAGAUUGUAGUGUUUCAAUUUUUUGGACCUUUAUAACGAACAAUCCUCGGGAGAAUCGGGAGCAAGGCCAAGCAAUUCAGACUUUUGUGCUAAAUCUGUACAAGCGUAUUAGGCAGUCAACAAGAAUAGUUGAACGGUGAGGGGUGGACAAUCACAUCAUAGUUGGAUCAGAGAUGUCAACGAAGCUCUCUCAAUGCAAGCUAUGUAUAAACUUGUCUAGCUCUGGUGUAUAAACUUGUCUAGCUCUGGUGUAUACUUGACCCUGCAUAUCAACUUUUUUUUCAUAGUAUUCUGAUUAAGCACCAGUAUAAACAUGAGAAUUUUCCUACUUUUAUUUUCUUUCAGUAAAGAUCCAGAGAAUU